rnacentral:rRNA from 1 species
CUUCUCUUGAGAGCGGCGGACGGGUGAGUAAUGCCUAGGAAUCUGCCUGGUAGUGGGGGAUAACGUUCGGAAACGGACGCUAAUACCGCAUACGUCCUACGGGAGAAAGCAGGGGACCUUCGGGCCUUGCGCUAUCAGAUGAGCCUAGGUCGGAUUAGCUAGUUGGUGAGGUAAUGGCUCACCAAGGCGACGAUCCGUAACUGGUCUGAGAGGAUGAUCAGUCACACUGGAACUGAGACACGGUCCAGACUCCUACGGGAGGCAGCAGUGGGGGAUAUUGGACAAUGGGCGAAAGCCUGAUCCAGCCAUGCCGCGUGUGUGAAGAAGGUCUUCGGAUUGUAAAGCACUUUAAGUUGGGAGGAAGGGCAGUAAAUUAAUACUUUGCUGUUUUGACGUUACCGACAGAAUAAGCACCGGCUAACUCUGUGCCAGCAGCCGCGGUAAUACAGAGGGUGCAAGCGUUAAUCGGAAUUACUGGGCGUAAAGCGCGCGUAGGUGGUUUGUUAAGUUGGAUGUGAAAUCCCCGGGCUCAACCUGGGAACUGCAUUCAAAACUGACUGACUAGAGUAUGGUAGAGGGUGGUGGAAUUUCCUGUGUAGCGGUGAAAUGCGUAGAUAUAGGAAGGAACACCAGUGGCGAAGGCGACCACCUGGACUAAUACUGACACUGAGGUGCGAAAGCGUGGGGAGCAAACAGGAUUAGAUACCC